rnacentral:rRNA from 1 species
AGCGUAGACGGCAAGGCAAGUCUGAUGUGAAAACCCAGGGCUUAACCCUGGGACUGCAUUGGAAACUGUCUGGCUCGAGUGCCGGAGAGGUAAGCGGAAUUCCUAGUGUAGCGGUGAAAUGCGUAGAUAUUAGGAGGAACACCAGUGGCGAAGGCGGCUUACUAGACGGUAACUGACGUUGAGGCUCGAAAGCGUGGGGAGCAAACA